AGGGUGCAUGUACCACGUGACUUUUUCGCUAAUCUGGGGUGCCAAAAACAUGGCGGAUUCCUCGAUAAAGACAUUUGUGUGCCAGGAAUGCGGAAGGGCUUAUAAUUCCAAAAAAAGCCUUCUGCGCCACGAAAGAGGCCACAGAAAUCUUGGACCUUACAUGUAUAACUGCGGCGAGCGGUCUUUUCCGGAAAACAUUUCUAUGCGAAAAGCUAUUCCAGACUGGCGGCCAUGACAGAUGUGGGUGAGAAAUCAUAAAGAGUGACUGAGUACUUUGAUAUGUAGCAAAGAAGUUCAUUGUUGAUGAUAGUGUUUCUUUAUGAUUUAUUGAAUACGAUCAGAAAUACAGAGCUCUCAAUGCUGUAAACUUUUUGUUGUGAAAUUCGCCGCUGAAUCCAUUUCCAAAAGUGUUCGUUUUACUAUACAGCAAAGAAGGAGAAAUUGUACCGGGCCGACACCACAGAGUGAAAGUUGGUGCAUUUUUCAUUAAAUCAGUCAAAUUAAGCAUUUCACUUUAGGUAAAAUAUGCAGUUUAAAGUCGGUAGAAAGCUUUCAUUUGUCAUGACUAUUUUAAUUUUAACAUACGUAUAACGGGAUUAUUCUAUAAUGAGCAGUAUUAACAUGGAAAAACUUUAAGAAGCGGGUAAAUGAAAUACCAAGGACUUCCAUUACCAAAUCGUUGAAUCAUGCCCCCGUCUUAGCAUUAACAAAACCGGACCCCUACUUAGCAAUUUCAUAAAUCUGGCCCCGGAAGCUAUGUAAGGCUCUUAUUUUGUAUUUUCUUAAGGUGCAUAUGUCGAGAGAAUAUUUAUACAAAUA